UGCAAGUCGAACGCGAAAGCCCCUUCGGGGGCAAGUAGAGUGGCGCACGGGUGAGUAACACGUAGGUAAUCUACCUUUGGAUGGGGAAUAACAACCGGAAACGGUUGCUAAUACCGCAUAAUGCAGCGGCACCUAAUGGUGACAGUUGUUAAAGCGGGGGAUCGUAAGACCUCGCGUCUAAAGAGGAGCCUGCGGCGGAUUAGCUAGUUGGUAAGGUAACGGCUUACCAAGGUGAUGAUCCGUAACCGGCCUGAGAGGGCGGUCGGUCACACUGACACUGACAUACGGGUCAGACUCCUACGGGAGGCAGCAGUCGGGAAUUUUGGGCAAUGGGCGAAAGCCUGACCCAGCAACGCCGCGUGAAGGAUGAAAUCCCUCGGGAUGUAAACUUCGCAAGAACGGGAAGAAUAAGUUAGUGUGAAUAUCACCAGCGAUGACGGUACCGUUUGUAAGCUCCGGCUAACUCCGUGCCAGCAGCCGCGGUAAUACGGGGGAGCAAGCGUUGUUCGGAUUUACUGGGCGUAAAGGGCGCGUAGGCGGCCACCGCAAGUCAGUUGUGAAAUCUCUGGGCUUAACCCAGAAAGGUCAACUGAUACUGCGGGGCUAGAGUGCAGAAGGGGCAACUGGAAUUCUCGGUGUAGCGGUGAAAUGCGUAGAUAUCGAGAGGAACACCUGCGGCGAAGGCGGGUUGCUGGGCUGACACUGACGCUGAAGCGCGAAAGCUAGGGGAGCGAACGGGAUUAGAUACCCCGGUAGUCCUAGCCUUAAACGAUGAAUGCUUGGUGUCUGGGGUUUUAUAGUCCCCGGGUGCCGUCGCUNACGCUUUAAGCAUUCCGCCUGGGGAGUACGGUCGCAAGACUGAAA
rnacentral:rRNA from 1 species